CACAGCUGCUCCUCCCGGCUCUUGUUAUCUGACCCUCCAUUUCCAUGGCUCAGUGGCUGUUUGCAGGGAUGUUCCACUGGGCUGUCAGACAAUGGAUAACUGAGCAAUACAGUAGGCAUCUCUCGAUGUGGGCAAGAAUCUCCUCCAUACUGCAACCAGAGUUCUCUAGAAGCAGAAGCUUCCUAUCAAAACACAAAGAGCUGUGGAUAGUUGAAUCCGUCAUUAAAGAAUCCGUGGAUGUGGAAGGCCAACUGACCUACUUACUGGAAAUGAUUAAGAUAAGGCAGGUGACUUCAACAGAAAUCAGUCUGGAAUAACUUCUCACUGAAAUUCUUUCUGACUGCAAGCAAAGGGAGCAAAAUGAGCAUCACAUUAAAAUAAAAGAAGCCAUGCAUGAGGUAUGUUAAGCUGUGAACUGUCAGUUCAUGAGCCUCUUUCACUGACCACUUCACAGGCAAGCUUUGACCUGGAAUUUUAGCAAUGCUAGGGUAAGAUGUGAGUCACAGCAGUUCUUCUAUUUCCAUCAGGGCAAACUCUUGUAGGAAUAUGUCUUUAAAGUACAACUAGACUUAACUAGACUUAGUGAUACAUAACUGCCACCCUGUCUGCUGUACCAACUGCCUCUGCACCUCACCAAAUUAAAAAUGCUUAACAGCAAAAUCUUACAGUGUUGACUCUGAAGCAAGUCCCAUCAAAUUAAACAGAAUGCACUCCAAGCUAUUGGAGAUGUAUUCUUAUAGGCCAAGAGUAAGAGUAAGAGUAGUUUGUAGCUCCGGCUCAGAUGUUAUUGGACUGCAAGUCCCAUCACACCUAGCCAGCAUACCUAGCGGUAAGGGACAAUGAGAGUUGUAGUUCAAUAACCUCUAGAGAUUCACAACCUCUGGCUUGUAGGAUAUUUUAGGACAAGAAUUUAUCAAGUUCAUUUCAUUCAGGAGUGUGGCAGUUUAGAAAAU